UCCUGCCAGACGGUCUAGGACCCAACAGUC
rnacentral:piRNA from 1 species